rnacentral:rRNA from 1 species
CCUACGGGCGACAGCAGUGAGGAAUAUUGGUCAAUGGAGGCAACUCUGAACCAGCAAAGCCGCGUGCAGGAUGACGGCCCUCUGGGUUGUAACCUGCUUUUAUGCGGGGGUAAACUGAGUUACGUGUGGCUUACUGCAAGUCCCGCACGAAUACGGCACGGCUAAUUCCGUGCCAGCAGCCGCGGUAAUACGGAAGGUCCGGGCGUUAUCCGGAUUUAUUGGGUUUAAAGGGAGCGCAGGCAGACCCUUAAGCUAGAUGUGAAAUCCCGCGGCUCAACCUUGGCACUGCAUCGGGAACUGUGAGGCUUGAGUGUGGCUGAGGUAGGCGGAAUGCAUGGUGUAGCGGUGAAAUGCUUAGAGAGCACGAAGAACACCGAUUGCGAAGGCAGCCUACCAUAGCAUUACUGACGCUGAGGCGCGAAAGUGUGGGGAGCGAACAGGAUUAGAUACCCUAGUAGUC